rnacentral:sRNA from 17 species
CAUCCGUGAAACUGGCACAGCCCCUGCAUCGAGAAAACCGACAGAUCACAUAAGCAUUGCCUUCAACGUGGAGGGCAGUGUUUCCCGACAGAACGGGAAUGGACAAAGGCGUCCUCGCUGGGUAACCGGCGGGACGCC